rnacentral:sRNA from 1 species
UAAUAGCCCCGAUAGUAGCGACAUCCUUUUUUGUAGUCUGAGGUUUUCGAAGACACCAAAAAAGAUAUAGCGGAAAGCGGGAUGUAAU